UUGUAAUAGCUAUCUUCUCUCAUCUAGGUGUUUGAAAAAUGUCUCUAACGUGUGUGGGUUGGAAUGCAUUUUGUUUUUUCUGUAGGUAUAUUCAUUUAACAAGGGAAGUCUCAGAGGAGCUAUCAAAAACUGCUUGCCAUCUUUCCAAAUCAUCUCUGUCUGCAGUGGCCAUGUCUUAAUCCUGAAGGACAACAAGACUUGAGACCCCAGGCCUGUCUCUCAUAUUUAUGGAAGAAUCUGACUUUCUGCAGUUCCAAGCAAGCCACUUUCCUGCUUCCUCAGGCAGUCGUGGCAAGAUGCUUAACCCAGCAUUUACCAAAUUGUGUUCUAAGAAAUAUCAGUUUUUCUGGAUCAAAAUCAGAAUCCACAUUUUCAGUUUCAUGGCCAAAUAAGUUUGGAAGCACUGUUACAGAAAGCCAAUCACAUUUCUGCACUGCCGAAAUUCUCAGAACUUUAAUAAGCUAACAGGUUCUGUGAAUUCCUCAGUUGGGGGAGGUAGCCCAUACAGAGUCUUCUUUUCCUAUGGGGUCAUUUUUAGGGCCUGUGAAACCACUGUGAAAACUGUGGAGCGGAUCAUUGGAGAGCCACUUAUUAAGAGUGACUCAUCCGGGCAGAUUACAGGAUGAAGACAACUAACAGAACAGCCACAUUUACACAUGGAAAUCACUAAACAAACACCAAUGGGACUCUUCAUGGCAAAGUCUGAAAGUGAUUUUGGUCUAAAUUAAAUGGUUUCCAAAAACUUAUCUAGAGCAAAUGCCUCUUAAAUAUGAAAUACAUGUUUUGUGUUCAUAACUACUCCCUAGAAAAUCAAGCUUUUAAACCAAAACUUAUAUAAUUGGUCUGAAGAACUUCCUGCCUCCUCCUUAAGAGAUUUAGGGAACAUAGAAGAUGACUUGAGGAUAUUUCCAGACAGUGACAUCAGAAGAGAGGAAUUAGCAUGAUGUUAGGUAGCUGUAUUUAAGGAUUAUCUCUCUACACAGAAGUCAGUCCUUCUUCAUGAGAGCCCCUAACAUUUCCAGCACUCCAUGCCGGUGCAUGUACCUUCAGGGCUGAGAUGUGGAAUUUCUAAGUUCCUCUUGGCACUUGGCUCGAAAGACUUUUCCACAGGUGCUGUCUGCCAACCUGGGCUCAAGAUGCACCUGCUGGGAAAUUUCCAAGCACAGCUUUAGGCCUCAAAGGAGCAGAACUUGACGGUGUCAAAAGACAAAUGAAGUGGAAGCUCAUUAAGAAAUUUUAAUGCAAAAGCAAUAAUGAUUAAGAAGCCUAAAGAAAAUCUGGCAAACGUGCUUUUUAAAUUAAUAUAGGAGGGAGAAUUCCACAGGCAUCUUCAUUGCCCAUCUCUAAGGAUGGGAUUUUGAGAGGCAUAAGCACUGCUGGGUUUAAAGAAAGAAUGAUAAUUCCAGCUAGGGACACCAAGGGAGGCUGAGGAGCCCUCCCUGUGGUUUCUUUAGCAAGAAGCCUCAGAUAAAGACAAUGUUCUCCAUUAGAUAGUUUUAAAGGCCUUGGGUACACAACCAGAAAAUCACUGGAGAACAAGCCAGGAAAAUCACCUACAUUUUCAACCUCUCUAGUUUCUCAUUACAGUUUUCUAUUUUUUCCCCUUGAAGGUCAUAAAACAUAAUGUAAAAACAAGGUGAAUUAUAGCAAAGCAUGAUCUAGGCAUGCAACCUAAUUUCUAUAAUAUAAGAGACCUUUAGACUUCUUUGAAAUAGGACUUUCCCUUUAUUAUGGGGAAAAUUAAGGUAAUGUGAAAACUAGCCCUUACAGUUUUCAAUUAGCUCAAGUUGUGACCAUUUCCAACAAUAAUCAUAUCUGAAUAAUAUCAUUCUUAAAACCACUUAGGCUUUGUCUUAUGCUUUUCCGGGUGUUAGUGAUAUAAAAGAUUGCAAGUAGUACAUUUUAAUUCUGAAUCACCAGGAAGAAUAUUUUGGCUAUGAUAUAAUCAUUAUCUUUUUU